GUAGGUGGCAAGCGUUGUCCGGAAUUAUUGGGCGUAAAGCGCGCGCAGGUGGUUCUUUAAGUCUGAUGUGAAAGCCCCCGGGCUCAACCGGGGAGGGUCAUUGGAAACUGGGGAACUUGAGUGCAGGAGAGGAAAGUGGAAUUCCACGUGUAGCGGUGAAAUGCGUAGAUAUGUGGAGGACACCAGUGGCGAAGGCGACUUUCUGGCCUGUAACUGACACUGAGGCGCGAAAGCGUGGGGAGCAAACAGGAUUAGAUACCCUGGUAGUCCACGCCGUAAACGAUGAGUGCUAAGUGUUGGGGGGUUUCCGCCCCUCAGUGCUGCAGCUAACGCAUUAAGCACUCCGCCUGGGGAGUACGGUCGCAAAGACUG
rnacentral:rRNA from 1 species